AGUGAAGAUUUUUAAUAUUUUGAAGUGAGAUGCCGAACGAAGGAUCUCGAGGGCCUUCUAUAAGUUUUCCUUUAGGUUUAGCCCUCCUUAUCAUUUUGUUGAUAUGCAUUAGUGGCUUCUUUUCUUGUUGCUACAACUGGAACAAGAUCCGAAGCCUUCUUCAACCUUCUUCCACCCCCGAUGCCAUCGAAGAGAAUCAUUCAGAUUCCACUCUUCCCCAUUCUCCUAUAAUUAAGACUGCUGAGCAAAAGCAUGAUGAAAGCUUUACGGUGUUGAUGCCUGGAGAUCGAGCUCCAAAAUAUUUGGCAUUUCCAGCUCCGCAUGGAGAACAUCAAGCAAAUAAUUCCGCAAAAUUAUAGUUGCAGUAUGUUGUAGUAAAGCUAAUUGCAGCACUAUUGAUACAGUUUACUCUAGACAGAUAAUUACUGCAGUAUUUUAUUAUCAACUUACUGGUGAGUAUGGUAGAAUUUUGACUGGGAAUAUUGUGUUUUCUUGAGAUUGA